rnacentral:rRNA from 1 species
GAUAAGCGCUGAAAGCAUCUAAGCACGAAACUCAUCUCAAGAUUAGAUUUCUUUUUAAGGGUCGUUAUAGACGAUGACGUUGAUAGGUCACAGGUGUAAAGACAGAAAUGUCAAAGCUGAGUGAUACUAAUUACCCAUAGACUUUGGAUUU